rnacentral:rRNA from 1 species
AUUGAACGCUGGCGGCAUGCCUUACACAUGCAAGUCGAACGGCAGCACGGGGCAACCUGGUGGCGAGUGGCGAACGGGUGAGUAAUGCAUCGGAACGUACCUUUCAGUGGGGGAUAACGUAGCGAAAGUUACGCUAAUACCGCAUAUUCUGUGAGCAAGAAAGCAGGGGAUCGCAAGACCUUGCGCUGAUUGAGCGGCCGAUGUCAGAUUAGCUAGUUGGUGAGGUAAAGGCUCACCAAGGCGACGAUCUGUAGCGGGUCUGAGAGGAUGAUCCGCCACACUGGAACUGAGACACGGUCCAGACUCCUACGGGAGGCAGCAGUGGGGAAUUUUGGACAAUGGGGGCAACCCUGAUCCAGCCGUGCCGCGUGAGUGAAGAAGGCCUUCGGGUUGUAAAGCUCUUUCGGCCGGGAAGAAAUCGCACGGGCUAAUACCCUGUGUGGAUGACGGUACCGAAAUAAGAAGCACCGGCUAACUACGUGCCAGCCGCCGCCGUAAUAC